GGGCAAUACAAGGGCUUAGGGCUUAGGCCUGUACCUAAUCAUUGAAGAACAACAAGCUUUCCUCUCUGCAGUUUUUCUACAGAGAGAGAUUUCCUCUCUUUUCGUUUUUCUUCCCUGAGGCCUAGUCUUUCUUCACUGCUGAAGUAGUUGGUUCUUUCCUUGCCCCAUCCAAGCAGGGGACGGCCUCCUUUCCCUAACCCGGAGAGUAGGUCUCUCCCUUCCCAGUUCCAGAGACGUUGUAUAUACAUUUUUU
rnacentral:misc_RNA from 1 species